GAUGAACGCUGGCAGCGUGCCUAAUACAUGCAAGUCGAGCGAACGGACGAGAAGCUUGCUUCUCUGAUGUUAGCGGCGGACGGGUGAGUAACACGUGGAUAACCUACCUAUAAGGCUGGGAUAACUUCGGGAAACCGGAGCUAAUACCGGAUAAUAUUUUGAACCGCAUGGUUCAAAAGUGAAAGACGGUCUUGCUGUCACUUAUAGAUGGAUCCGCGCUGCAUUAGCUAGUUGGUAAGGUAACGGCUUACCAAGGCAACGAUGCAUAGCCGACCUGAGAGGGUGAUCGGCCACACUGGAACUGAGACACGGUCCAGACUCCUACGGGAGGCAGCAGUAGGGAAUCUUCCGCAAUGGGCGAAAGCCUGACGGAGCAACGCCGCGUGAGUGAUGAAGGUCUUCGGAUCGUAAAACUCUGUUAUUAGGGAAGAACAUAUGUGUAAGUAACUGUGCACAUCUUGACGGUACCUAAUCAGAAAGCCACGGCUAACUACGUG
rnacentral:rRNA from 1 species